GGAGGGGGCUAGCGUUGUUCGGAAUUACUGGGCGUAAAGCGCGCGUAGGUGGGCUGGUCAGGUGGGGGUGAAAUCCCGGGGCUUAACCUCGGAACUGCCCUCAAUGCUACCAGUCUAGAGAUCGAGAGAGGUAAGUGGAAUUCCUAGUGUAGAGGUGAAAUUCGUAGAUAUUAGGAAGAACACCAGUGGCGAAGGCGGCUUACUGGCUCGAUACUGACGCUGAGGCGCGAAAGCGUGGGGAGCAAACAGGAUUAGAUACCCUGGUAGUCCACGCCGUAAACGAUGGGUGCUAGUUGUCGGGCGGCAUGCCGUUCGGUGACGCAGCAAACGCGUUAAGCACCCCCGCCUGGGGACUACGGUCGCAAGACUA
rnacentral:rRNA from 1 species